UCCAUGUUAAUUGUGAGUAUGCUACCACCAUCUUCCUUUCUGACCAACAUCAGCAGCUUGUACCAUUUGCUUUCAAACAGUCUGAUUAUAACAUAGACAGAAGCAAAGAUUGAGCCACAAAUUCAAGCACUGUGUUUUGGCGACUAGCCAAGGAGAACUUUAGAGAAGCAGGAUUUCUGGAAAAAAAAUGGUUCAAUGAGUAGUUGUGAGAUCAAGUCAUUCCCAAAUCACCUUCAAACAACAACUGAUCCAUUUAAAGUAAAAGAAUAACAAAGAGCAGAAAGGAAAGUAAUCUUCACAAGGAAAAUUCUACAGAGAGAAACACAAAAAGCAAAGAAACUGAAAAAUGAGCAAGUACAAAAAAAGCUCUUCUACAAUGCAGAAAUAUGGAGUAAAAGGACUUGAAGAGACAUCUAAGAAAGAAAGAAAUAAUUUGUCAUUGUCUACCAUAGCUAGUACACCAGAAAAAAGAAUGGAACAAGCACAAGAACGGUUGAAAAUUCUAACAAA